AAGUGCAUUGUCUCGGUGAAGGGGAACUUUCUUGAUAAGUAAGUUUAAAUUGGUUGAAGCCCAAUCGUGUGCUUU
rnacentral:tRNA from 1 species